rnacentral:rRNA from 1 species
UACGAAGGGGGCUAGCGUUGCUCGGAAUCACUGGGCGUAAAGCGCACGUAGGCGGAUUGCUAAGUCAGGGGUGAAAUCCUGGAGCUCAACUCCAGAACUGCCUUUGAUACUGGCGAUCUUGAGUCCGGGAGAGGUGAGUGGAACUCCGAGUGUAGAGGUGAAAUUCGUAGAUAUUCGCAAGAACACCAGUGGCGAAGGCGGCUCACUGGCCCGGUACUGACGCUGAGGCACGAAAGCGUGGGGAGCAGACAGG